UACGAAGGGGGCUAGCGUUGCUCGGAAUCACUGGGCGUAAAGGGUGCGUAGGCGGGUUCUUAAGUCAGAGGUGAAAUCCUGGAGCUCAACUCCAGAACUGCCUUUGAUACUGAGAGUCUUGAGUUCGGGAGAGGUGAGUGGAACUGCGAGUGUAGAGGUGAAAUUCGUAGAUAUUCGCAAGAACACCAGUGGCGAAGGCGGCUCACUGGCCCGAUACUGACGCUGAGGCACGAAAGCGUGGGGGGCAAACAGG
rnacentral:rRNA from 1 species